GUCCACGCUGUAAACGAUGAGAACUAGAUGUUGGUAGGCCUGACCUAUUAGUAUCGAAGCUAACGCGAUAAGUUCUCCGCCUGGGGAGUACGACCGCAAGGUUAAAACUCAAAGGAAUUGACGGGGGCCCCGCACAAGCGGUGGAGCAUGUGGUUUAAUUCGAUGCAACGCGAAGAACCUUACCUACCCUUGACAUCCUAGGAAUCCUGCAGAGAUGCGGGAGUGCCGCAAGGAACCUAGAGACAGGUGCUGCAUGGCUGUAGU
rnacentral:rRNA from 1 species